GCAGCGCCGGCAGCAUUGCUAUCAGCGCAGUUGGCGUGAUCCAUUCGCGUUUCGGAGGGUGGCGCGGAGUAGAGCUACGGGUGCAGCCCAUUCAUGUUCGGAGGGGUGCAAGGGCGACGGGAGAGAGGCGCGCGG
rnacentral:lncRNA from 1 species